rnacentral:rRNA from 1 species
UACGUAGGUGGCAAGCGUUGUCCGGAAUUAUUGGGCGUAAAGCGCGCGCAGGCGGUUUCUUAAGUCUGAUGUGAAAGCCCACGGCUUAACCGUGGAAGGUCAUUGGAAACUGGGAGACUUGAGUGCAGAAGAAGAAGAGCGGAAUUCACGUGUAGCGGUGAAAUGCGUAGAGAUGUGGAGGAACACCAGGUGGCGAAGGCGGCUCUUUGGUCUGUAAACUGACG